UACGUAGGGUGCAAGCGUUGUCCGGAAUUAUUGGGCGUAAAGAGCUCGUAGGCGGUCUGUCGCGUCGGAUGUGAAAAUCCAGGGCUCAACCCUGGACCUGCAUUCGAUACGGGCAGACUAGAGUUCGGUAGGGGAGACUGGAAUUCCUGGUGUAGCGGUGAAAUGCGCAGAUAUCAGGAGGAACACCGGUGGCGAAGGCGGGUCUCUGGGCCGAAACUGACGCUGAGACGCGAAAGCGUGGGGAGCGAACCGG
rnacentral:rRNA from 1 species